UGCCAGCCGUCGCGGUAAUACGAAGGGGGCGUGCGUUGUUCGGAAUUACUGGGCGUAAAGGGCGCGUAGGCGGUCUUUUAAGUUAGGCGUGAAGGCCCCGGGCUCAACCUGGGAACUGCGUUUAAUACUGCCAAACUAGAGAACUAGAGAGGAUAGCGGAACUCCCAGUGUAGAGGUGAAAUUCGUAGAUAUUGGGAAGAACAUCAGUGGCGAAAGCGGCUGUCUGGCUAGUUUCUGACGCUGAGGCGCGAAAGCGUGGGGAGCAAACAGGAUUAGAUA
rnacentral:rRNA from 1 species